CGGCGCACGGGUGCGUAACGCGUAUGCAAUCUACCUUUCACAAAGGGAUAGCCCAGAGAAAUUUGGAUUAAUACCUUAUAGUAAUACGACUUGGCAUCAAGAUGUAUUUAAAGAUUUAUCGGUGAAAGAUGAGCAUGCGUCCCAUUAGCUAGUUGGUAUGGUAACGGCAUACCAAGGCUACGAUGGGUAGGGGUCCUGAGAGGGAGAUCCCCCACACUGGCACUGAGAUACGGGCCAGACUCCUACGGGAGGCAGCAGUAGGGAAUAUUGGGCAAUGGCCGAGAGGCUGACCCAGCCAUGCCGCGUGCCGGAUGAAGGCCUUCUGGGUUGUAAACGGCUUUUCUUAGGGAAGAAAAAGACCCUGCGGGGUACACUGACGGUACCUAAGGAAUAAGCACCGGCUAACUCCGUGCCAGCAGCCGCGGUAAUACGGAGGGUGCAAGCGUUGUCCGGAUUUAUUGGGUUUAAAGGGUGCGUAGGUGGCCUGUUAAGUCCGGGGUGAAAGCCCACAGCUCAACUGUGGAACUGCCCUGGAUAC
rnacentral:rRNA from 1 species